rnacentral:rRNA from 1 species
GACGAACGCUGGCGGCAUGCCUAACACAUGCAAGUCGAACGGAGAAUUCCUUCGGGAAUUCUUAGUGGCGAACGGGUGAGUAACGCGUAGGCAACCUGCCCUUUGGAUGGGGACAACAUUCCGAAAGGAGUGCUAAUACCGAAUGUGACGAUUUACCGCAUGGUUUAAUCGUGAAAGAUGGCCUCUACAUGUAAGCUAUCGCCAAAGGAUGGGCCUGCGUAGGAUUAGCUAGUUGGUGAGGUAAAAGCUCACCAAGGCGACGAUCCUUAGCUGGUCUGAGAGGAUGAUCAGCCACACUGGGACUGAGACACGGCCCAG